UACGUAGGGUGCAAGCGUUGUCCGGAAUUAUUGGGCGUAAAGAGCUCGUAGGCGGUUUGUCGCGUCUGCUGUGAAAACUGGAGGCUCAACCUCCAGCCUGCAGUGGGUACGGGCAGACUAGAGUGCGGUAGGGGAGAUUGGAAUUCCUGGUGUAGCGGUGAAAUGCGCAGAUAUCAGGAGGAACACCGGUGGCGAAGGCGGGUCUCUGGGCAGUAACUGACGCUGAGGAGCGAAAGCGUGGGGAGCGAACAGG
rnacentral:rRNA from 1 species